CACGCCCUCGCCGCGGCCGCCGCAGACUAACCGGGAGCUAGAGCCUGCCCCUGCCGGGGAAGUUCCCCGCGUGAAACCAGAGGCGAUUCACGCUGCGCCGCGUGAUGGUCCUGGAUCAGCGACCCGAAAGCGGGUGAGCUGCCGCUGUCUCCCACUUCUACGAGCGGGAGGGACCAAGUAUGCAGCCAGAACCCGGCGAGGGAGUCCAAGGAGCUCGCCCUCAGCGAACAACUGCGGCGGAGAGCAGAGAUGAAUAAAUGACUAACCACAUCAA